AUUGAACGCUGGCGGCAGGCUUAACACAUGCAAGUCGAACGGUAGCAGGAGAAAGCUUGCUUUCUUGCUGACGAGUGGCGGACGGGUGAGUAAUGCUUGGGAAUCUGGCUUAUGGAGGGGGAUAACUACGGGAAACUGUAGCUAAUACCGCGUAGAAUCGGAAGAUGAAAGUGCGGGACCGCAAGGCCGCAUGCCAUGAGAUGAGCCCAAGUGGGAUUAGGUAGUUGGUGGGGUAAGGACCUACCAAGCCUGCGAUCUCUAGCUGGUCUGAGAGGAUGGCCAGCCACACUGGAACUGAGACACGGUCCAGACUCCUACGGGAGGCAGCAGUGGGGAAUAUUGCGCAAUGGGGGGAACCCUGACGCAGCCAUGCCGCGUGAAUGAAGAAGGCCUUCGGGUUGUAAAGUUCUUUCGGUAUUGAGGAAGGUUGAUGUGUUAAUAGUACAUCAAAUUGACGUUAAAUACAGAAGAAGCACCGGCUAACUCCGUG
rnacentral:rRNA from 1 species